rnacentral:lncRNA from 1 species
AUGAUUAUAUGCAGGUGCUUUUACUGAGAGCUCUGGGAAUCAGGGGUACAGACCCAAAUCUGACUCCGACAUGGCUUUUGAGCUGAACGUAUUUUCUAUUCUAUUGUUAUAUAACUUACAUAUUAAUUAUUAAACUUAUAUUGUUCUAUUGUAUACAUUGACUUUAUUCAAGCAUGAGUUUCUCGUGAUCUUUCUUAGGCCCCCGACCACAGUUUCUCAUGAUUAUCUUAUGAUUAAACAGUAAUUCUAUUUAAUUACUACACAAUCAUCAUAUCUAACAGUUAUAUCAUUUAUCAUGUACUAGCUACACAGGUGCAGUUCUAGCAAGGUAGAAGGCCUACAUGUACCUAGGGUAUUUUUUUUUUUCAGGGCCUACUAAACUUAAUUUUCCUUUUAACCCUUAAUCCCCAUGGUUUUAAAACCCUUUUACUAUCAAAACCAUCAUCAGCACUUGGGCGUGGCACAAUUCGAGUGGCACAAACAGUGCCUUGAGGCCACUUCACUCUGUUAUAAAUGGCUAAUGCAACAGCUGGCUCUCGCAAUUAAGAGAUUAAUAUUAUAUGUAUGUUAAGGAAAGUUUAUUGACUUAUAGUUAUGUAAUUGUGAUUUGUUGUUUAGAUGUCCUCUGUUCACCCCAUAGUCCAUCUUCCCCACUCUGUAUAGUUGCCAAGAGAGGGCCUUAGUAGUCCAGGCAUGUGGAAGGAGGGUGUGUGUGUACCUGUGCUAUUGCAUAAAACAUUUGAGAAACGGGCGAGCUUGUUGCUAGGAAGUGCAGCAUGACAACACCUCAAGUGGCAAGAAAGAAACCUCCAGGGAUGAAAGGCAAAGAAGAGUCGACUGACAGACCUUGGCAGGGGCCAGGAUUGCCUGAGGCAACCCCCAGGGGUACAAAAAGCGGAGCAGCCAAUUUAUAGAUGAGCUCAUGGAGAGAAACAUCCAGGGCAGGGAGGCUCCAGGGGAAAUGCUCAGGACAGCCACAGACUGCACAGAGGGACAUGAGAGUGGUGGGUCCGCAGGGAGAAGUCACAGCUGCCUCCCUUCUGAAGCACCCUGAGGACCUGGACAGGGCCGUGCUGUGCCCUGGGCACUGACCUGGAACUGAGGGAUGUGGCAGAGGCCUUUGCUGUCAGGGAUGUUGAGAAGGCUGGGCAGCGUCACGGUGAGUCCUCUCUCAAAGCCCCUGGAAAGGCCAGAGCCAUCC